GCCUGGGUGGCUCAGUCGGUUAAGCGCCCGACUUCAGCUCAGGUCAUGAUCUCACAGUUCGUGGGUUCGAGCCCCACAUGGGGCU
rnacentral:tRNA from 1 species